GACGAACGCUGGCGGCGUGCUUAACACAUGCAAGUCGAACGGAAAGGCCCUGCUUUUGUGGGGUGCUCGAGUGGCGAACGGGUGAGUAACACGUGAGUAACCUGCCCUUGACUUUGGGAUAACUUCAGGAAACUGGGGCUAAUACCGGAUAGGAGCUCCUGCUGCAUGGUGGGGGUUGGAAAGUUUCGGCGGUUGGGGCUGGACUCGCGGCUUAUCAGCUUGUUGGUGGGGUAGUGGCUUACCAAGGCUUUGACGGGUAGCCGGCCUGAGAGGGUGAACGGCCACAUUGGGACUGAGAGACGGCCCAGACUCCGACGGGAGGCAGCAGUGGGGAAUAUUGCACAAUGGGGGGAAGCCUGAUGCAGAAACGCCGCGUGCGGGAUGACGGCCUUCGGGUUGCAAACCGCUUUCGCCUGUGACGAAGCGUGAGUGACGGUAAUGGGUAAAGAAGCACCGGCUAACUACGUG
rnacentral:rRNA from 1 species